UCUGGGGGAGGCUUGGUACAGCCUGGGGGGUCCCUGAGACUCUCCUGUGCAGCCUCUGGAUUCACCUUUAGCAGCUAUGCCAUGAGCUGGGUCCGCCAGGCUCCAGGGAAGGGGCUGGAGUGGGUCUCAGCUAUUAGUGGUAGUGGUGGUAGCACAUACUACGCAGACUCCGUGAAGGGCCGGUUCACCAUCUCCAGAGACAAUUCCAAGAACACGCUGUAUCUGCAAAUGAACAGCCUGAGAGCCGAGGACACGGCCGUAUAUUACUGUGCGAAAGACACCAGGAGGGCAGAGGCUGUGCUACUGGUACUUCGAUCUCUGGGGCCGUGG
rnacentral:lncRNA from 1 species